UACUGACAAUGGCGAACCUGAUAAAAAGUAGGGACGCAAAGCUAAAGGGCCUGUAAAAUGGCAGCCAAGUUGCCAAA
rnacentral:ncRNA from 1 species